UCCACAGUCCUCCUCCCUUGCUGACUUUGAAUAAGAUAAGUAGUCCUAUUAGCUGGCCUACCAGGGAAAGAGCUGAAGAACUUCUAGGAUCUGAGAAUCUCUAGGAUCUGCAACAAGGAGCAAACAAGAAGCUGGAGCUCUUGUCUUAUAGCCUUGAGGGAAUGAAUUCUACUAAUAACCUAUAUAAGCUUGGAAGUAGAUCCUCCACCAGUGUUGCUUGAUGUAUCUGCUCAGAUAACAUAAGGACUCAUGUAACCAGGGCAAUGGGACUAGCAGUAUUCAUAAAAAGGUACUUGAUACGUGAUGAAAUAUGGACCUUCAGAGCACCAACUUUGAUGGCAAUAUGGUUUCAAAUCUAGGCCUUCUCAUUUACUAGCUAUUUAACCUUGAACAAGGUAAGAAAAGCCAUGAGAUGGCACAGGAACGAGGAGACUGUCACAUGGGUCAGAGGAGUAAUGUUGCGUACAUGAGAAGGGCCCCACAGCUCUCUCUGAAGACUCUCUGAGGGAAAUGGGAGAUGGCUGUGAGCUUGAGCAGACAAGAGCAGAUCUAUUUCAUUUAAAGGCUCAAUGUAUCUACCCUACGACCCACAAUUGCACUACUGGGUAUCUACCCCAAAGAUACAGAUGCAGUGAAAUGCCAGGUCACCUGCACCCCAAUGUUCAUAGUGGCAAUGUCCACAACAGCCAAACUGUGGAAGGAGCCACGA